rnacentral:lncRNA from 1 species
AAGGAAAGGCUUGUUAGGGAAGUCACAUCUCAGCUGAGAUUUGAAAGGUAAGUUGGAGGAAGCCUAGUGAAGAAAGCUGAAGGAGGAAUGUAGAGCGUUCAGGAUAAAGCAGCAGCCCGUGGUAAGCUUAGAAUCAUCAUCCACCACGACAAGAUGCAAGAUAGGUAAUCAAUUCAGUACAUCAGAAUCACUGGCUAUGAAGAGAAGAUUCAAGCAGAGACCUGCAGGAUCAAACACUAGCUGAAUUGCUGGGGUUGCAAAGAGGAAUAAAACCGUCACCUGCUUGGAGGACGUCAAAAUCUACAAAGAAGAGGAGGUACCAGGACCUCUGCCAAGAGACAGCGACACAAUGGUGAACCAGGAAAUGGCAUAUCCCCUGUCCUCAGGGAACCAGAUGAGUAGAGAAGACAAAAUUUACUAAAAUAAUCAAUCAUUUGAGUAAAUGUAGAAUUUCAAGGGUAGUUAGAGUUACAAAGGAGAGGUACACGCUACCAUGAGAACACAAAAGGGGCAUUUGUGUCCAUCAGAGAAGCUAAGAAACAUGUCCCAGAGCCAAUAUUAAAACCACAGUGGUAACAUAUACACCACUGUGAGAGUGUAGGGAAAUACUUGAGCUCUUCACCAAAUAUAACGGCAGCAUUUGAGAUUUCUUAGCUUCAUUUUGUUUGUUGCAGUUAGCCCAGAUUGACUGUUGUGCAAACAACUUCCAUUUGGUUUAGUUUUUGAUAACUCGUUUUAUGAUAGGCAGCUGCUUCUUAUUUGAAGUGAGAGAUGAGGUAAGAAAGAAUUCAAAAGAUUUGAAGGCUACCUGACAGGGUUGCUUCAUGAUAACAAACAGCCAUUCUCAAUGUUUGAAGUGGAAGGCAUUACUUCCUCAGGGUCUUUCGGGUUUUCUCUGUUUUUUGUUUUUUUCAACUGUGUGCUGCGCCCCCCACCACAAUUCCAAUGAUUUCCCCCAUAGAUAAGAAAUAAUUGCUUGUUUCUUGAAGAAUUUUUUAAAAAGGGCUAUCCUAAGGCUGCGUUUCUCAUAUUUGGUAUGAAUAUGACUAAUGUCUAUUCUAAUCCUUGAGGCAUUCUUAAGAAGAGGCAGCAUACGAAUUUUAAAAAGGCUUUAACCUUUUUCCUUUGCUCAUUAUGUAAAUUCUAUUUUUCAGCUUCCCUUUUCCCCCUACCAUCAACCCUCCACGCUUACUCCUCUCCCCUUUAUUUUUCUGAAUGAGCUUUCUUCUCUUUUGUCUUUUUUUCAGGAUAGAUGUUAUUCUUCACAUUCUUUCUGGGUGGAGGGGGAUAUACUAAGCCUAUUAAUAUGUUUACCUUUUUACCUAUUUAGAAUAUGGUGAAGGACAAGGAAAAUAAAAUGAGUAAGCGGUGCCUUCUGAAUAAUGCCAUGGAGCUUAUGCUGCUACUGUUGUCUUUUUAGCUAUAGCUGCUACUACCUCAUCCACCAGCAUUACCAGCUCUCUUGGCAAGUAUUGGACUACAGCAAGGCCUCCAUUACUCCUGCUGCUGUGGAGUUAAGACACAGUUCACUGGUGUGUCAGCAAGACAUAUUGGUGCUUGCUAGAAAUAGAUUGCUACUGCAUGGCAGCCACCGCUUGGGUGAGCCUGAAGCCCUCCCAAUGGGCAAAGAUACAGGUAGUAUACAACAAUUGGCCACAGACUUUAUAUGGAGAAGUACCUGUGAUAUGGAUAUGCAUUGACUUCUCUGCAGCACAAAUGGGCUACCUAGUUGGCUAAUUAACUAGAAUAGACGAAACGAAGGGAUCAAUGACUAGAGUGUCUAAGAUGGAGCUAGGUAAAGGGAUCUGUGGAAAUCAGUAAAAACAGGCCAGCUUUGAUAGCUUUAGAGAUCAAAGAAGAAUAUCUCUAAAAAGAUCACAUUUGAGGGAAAUGCAGUAAGACUUUCCUUGAUAUUCAGUGCUCUCCAGUUGCUCACGACUGUAGCUUUUACCAUAGAACCCUAUUUCUUCUGAUCUCAAUAUGGAACUAAUCUAUAUUUAUAUGAAAAGCAUCACCCUGCCAAAAUUACAUGUCUAUUGUAAGCCGUUCAAAAGUGUAAUGUAAAUGAAUGAAUAGGUGUUGGGGGCAGAUAUACACUACAGCAGCAAAAUGGUAGAGGAACUAGCUCUGAGCAAGAGAGCCCUUUGGUGCUUCCUGGGUCAGAGUCAUCAGCUCUGCCUGAGGAGUCUAAUUCUUCAGUAGUAUCGGCAUCUCUCAUGAAUGUGCCCAUUCUGCCCAGCAUACAGGCUUCUAAAAGCUUAGGGACACACUGGGAACUCUUGAGACAGCACGGGCCUAUGUAAGGGUAUAGCAAGACUGAAAUGUUUGAUGGGAGAAAGAAGGGCAAGGAUAGUAACAUUUGUGCUACCAGCAGUGUUUCCUGAAGCAUUAUUCCUUACAGUUGUUUUUCUAGGAAGUAGGGGGUCCCUGAAAAUAUGAUAGUAAUGCUGAAGAUAAAGUAGUGAAGUCCCCUUGGAUGACAUGGACUUGAAUCCUGGCUGUGCAACUUACUCAGUAGAUAACUCUGGGGAAAUAAUUUAACCUGUCUCAGUUCUCUCACCUGCAAAUUGGGUGUAACAGACAAUAUCCACUCUGCACAUAAAGUUAUUACAAGUUUUAAUAAGACCAUGGUUCUUUCAUUAUUUGUAUAAUCUUGGGCAAGUCAAUUAAAUUUUCUGAGUCCCCUUUUCUUCAUGUCAUCUCUAUAUUAGAGGCUUAGUUCCAAUAAUCACCAUGAUCCUUCCAGCUCUGAUGUUUGAGAUCUAUGCAAAUGGAAGUGUUCACUGGGAAAUGUCAGAGAAAUGUAAAUCUGAUUAUCCUUAUAAUUUAUAAUAUUUGUAUUAGUAUUACUAUUUUGAAUGCAGCAGUCCUUAGGAACCAGCUUCCUCUAAGAAAAGAAAGAGUAUGAUCUUUGAUAUUCUCCACCUGGGACUGUUGUCCAUGGCAGGGAUGUGUCUCUGUAAAGGCCAUUGCUAAGAAGCAUGGAGCCCCUUUGCUCCUCCUGCUUGAAAUUGAUGCCCUUUCCUGCUCUAACCACCAGAGGGGAGACAUCAUCUGUUUCAUGUUCUGAUUUACACACAGGCGCUACCAAAGGCAGGAAGAGCAAUGAAGACUCUGCCCUCUCACCUUCUCUCCUCUGCUCCCUUUGGAGGAUGAAUGGGGUACCGCAAAGGAAACCUGGUUUCCAAAGGGUCAUAAAAGUGCUCCUGGAAGUCACCAUGUUUUCAUUCCUUUAAAAUGAUGAUAAACUACUUAUUAAGCCUUGGGCUAUGGACUUGGCACUGAACUGUGUUCUUUGCUAGUAUUUUCUUGUUUAAUUCUCACAACAACUCCAUGAGGUAAAUAUUAAUCUUAUGCCCAGGACAUGAGGGCAUAUAAAAGGUAAAUAACUGAUAAAUCAGUAAAAUGGGGAUUUCAAUCUAUAUUUGACCCCAAAGUCUGAAUUCUAAGCCAGCAGGUCUCAACUUUUUUGGUUGCAGGACUGCUUUACCUUAUUAAAAAUGACUAAGCGUCCCCAAAAGCUUUUGUUUGUGUGUGUUACGUCUGUGAAUAUUUAUUGUAUUAGAAAUUCAAGCUGU